rnacentral:rRNA from 1 species
UACGGAGGAUCCAAGCGUUAUCCGGAAUCAUUGGGUUUAAAGGGUCCGUAGGCGGUUUAAUAAGUCAGUGGUGAAAGCCCAUCGCUCAACGGUGGAACGGCCAUUGAUACUGUUAAACUUGAAUUAUUAGGAAGUAACUAGAAUAUGUAGUGUAGCGGUGAAAUGCUUAGAGAUUACAUGGAAUACCAAUUGCGAAGGCAGGUUACUACUAAUGGAUUGACGCUGAUGGACGAAAGCGUGGGUAACGAACAGG